rnacentral:rRNA from 1 species
AACGAACGCUGGCGGCAGGCCUAACACAUGCAAGUCGAACGGUAACAGGAAGAAGCUUGCUUCUUUGCUGACGAGUGGCGGACGGGUGAGUAAUGUCUGGGAAACUGCCUGAUGGAGGGGGAUAACUACUGGAAACGGUAGCUAAUACCGCAUAACGUCGCAAGACCAAAGAGGGGGACCUUCGGGCCUCUUGCCAUCGGAUGUGCCCAGAUGGGAUUAGCUAGUUGGUGGGGUAACGGCUCACCAAGGCGACGAUCCCUAGCUGGUCUGAGAGGAUGACCAGCCACACUGGAACUGGGACACGGUCCAGACUCCUACGGGAGGCAGCAGUGGGGAAUAUUGCACAAUGGGCGCAAGCCUGAUGCAGCCAUGCCGCGUGUAUGAAGAAGGCCUUCGGGUUGUAAAGUACUUUCAGCGGGGAGGAAGGGAGUAAAGUUAAUACCUUUGCUCAUUGACGUUACCCGCAGAAGAAGCACCGGCUAACUCCGUGCCAGCCGCCGCAGUAACAC